ensembl:lncRNA
UUUUGAAAUAAAAUAAUAUUUUAAAGGAUACCAGUACAUAAACAUUCACAUCAUGAUGUUUAAAUUAAAGUCUAUGCCUAGAAUUCUAUGUAUAACGAAAUCUAAGAUACAGCCUCAUGUAUGGGAGAGAGGGAAGACCAAAAUGUUAACAAUAAUUAUCUCUCAGUAAUGGGAUUGCGGUUUUUUGUUUAUGCUUUUUUGCAUUUUCCAAAUGCGUUACAACAAGUCCGUUUAUUUUUUAAAAAAUGAUUUAUUUUUUAAAAGGAUUGAAAAACAUGGAACGGAGGUAUGGUUUAUUUUUAAGAAGCGCUUUUCAAAAAUUGUAUAUUCCUUUUCCCAGAAGAUGCAUCCUUUGCAUUCUUAGACCCACCUACACUUGAAUGCGGUCUUAAGGAAGUUGCAUUAUUAUAGAUUUUAUGUUUCGGUCAGGCAGUGUCACCUGGAGAUUCAAUGUGAGCGAUCUUAAAGCCUUCCCCCACUUUACGGAGUAAAGCCUCAUACACGUAAAGACUGUCCUCUCCAGCCUAGACCUGCCUUCUGAGCUUCAGACUUGCUGGUCCAAAUGCCUCCGGGCAUUCUGCGCGCAGACUCGCAGGCUGCUCAACUCCAGGACCUGUUCUUCUUAAAAUGAGUUCCGGCGCUUUCCCCAGGCUCUCCUGUCACUUCCAAAAUCCCUCCUUCCACAUCGUUGAAAAACCAGAGGGUCACUCCUGACACUUCUCUCUCUCUCCUUCUCCGCAUCCGGUGCAUGGCCAAACCCUGUCAGUUUCACCUGCACAGGACGCAGGGCAUCUGCGCCGCCUCGCCAUCUCCAUCACCACACCCCUGCCGCCUCUCUCGCGUCACUCUGCCUCGGCUCCUGCCUCCUUCAAGUCCUCCUCCACGUGUGAGGUUGCUGUCCAUAUUCAUGAAGGACAUGUUGAAAUCUCUCACAAAGAUCUCACUUUUACACUGGACACAUUGGCUUCACCAAGUUUACCCAAGAUAGAUGGUGACCUAAGAGGUAUGUUCAUUUUCUCUAUCUGGUAUUUUUUGCCAAAGCUGUCGUUCUAUUUUUCAUUACUUAUUCGUUCUUUUUGGUAUCUAUAAAGAUGACAUGACAAGUAUGUAGGACAUUAUGGCAGGAAGUACUAAUGGUUUAUUUGAGGUCAGUGCAUGGAAAGACCUGGAUGUGACAUAUGGAGCAGGGCUGGGGGUGUAGUUCAUGAAAAAUACUGAAUAUAAUAGUCUCCUCCUUAUCUGCGGGGUAUAAGUCCCAAGAUCCCCAGUGGAUGGCUGGAACUGCAAAUAGUGUUGAACCCUUUUAUGUACUAUGCUUUUUCCUAUACCUAUGAUAAAGUCUUUUUUUUUUUUAAAUAUUUUAUUUAUUUAUGUGACAGAGAGACAGCCAGCGAGAGAGGGAACACAGCAGGGGGAGUGGGAGAGGAAGAAGCAGGCUCACAGCGGAGGAGCCUGAUGUGGGACUCGAUCCGGGUACGCCGGGAUCACGCCCUGAGCCGAAGGCAGACGCUUAACGACUGCGCUACCCAGGGGCCCCUUUGAUAAAGGCUUAACUUAUAAAUUAGGCACAGUAACAACAACAAUUAGGCAAUUAACAACAAUAAUAAUAAAAUAGAAAAAUUAUAGCA